rnacentral:rRNA from 1 species
CUGACUGCUAUCGGAUUGGUACUAAGCCAUGCGAGUCAUUGUAGCAAUACAAGGCGGACGGCUCAGUAACACGUAGUCAACCUAACUCGUGGACGUGGAUAACCUCGGGAAACUGAGAAUAAACCACGAUAGAUCAUAGUGCCUGGAAUGGCUUAUGGUCCAAACAGUUUACUGCCAUGGGAUGGGACUGCGGCCUAUCAGCUUGUUGGUGAGGUAAUGGCCCACCAAGGCGAUUACAGGUACGGGCUCUGAGAGGAGUAGCCCGGAGAUGGGUACUGAGACACGGACCCAGGCCCUAUGGGGCGCAGCAGGCGAGAAACCUUAGCAAUGUGCGAAAGCACGACUGGGUCAGUCCGAGUGAUUCCUGAUAAAGGAGUCUUUUGCCUGUCCUAAAAGCACAGGUGAAUAAGGGGUGGGCAAGUCUGGUGUCAGCCGCCGCGGUAAUACCAGCACCUCGAGUGGUCAGGACGUUUAUUGGGCCUAAAGCAUCCGUAGCCGGCUCUGCAAGUCUUCGGUUAAAUCCACCUGCUCAACAGAUGGGCCGCUGGAGAUACUACAGAGCUAGGGAGUGGGAGAGGCAGACGGUAUUCAGUGGGUAGGGGUAAAAUCCUCUGAUCCAUUGAGGACCACCAGUGGCGAAGGCGGUCUGCCAGAACACGUUCGACGGUGAGGGAUGAAAGCUGGGGGAGCAAACCGGAUUAGAUACCCGGGUAGUCCCAGCUGUAAACGAUGCAAACUCGGUGAUGCAUUGGCUUAUGGCCAAUGCAGUGCCGCAGGGAAGCCGUUAAGUUUGCCGCCUGGGAAGUACGGACGCAAGUCUGAAACUUAAAGGAAUUGGCGGGGGAGCA